rnacentral:tRNA from 1 species
GAUGCAGUGGCCGAAAUGGAUAGGCGCACGGCUGCAGUCUGUGUUCAUGCGGGUUCGAGUCCCGCCUGCAUCU